GGGCGCGUAGCUCAGUGGGAGAGCACCUCCUUGACGCGGAGGGGGCCGCAGGUUCAAUCCCUGCCGCGCCCACCA
rnacentral:tRNA from 1 species